rnacentral:rRNA from 1 species
AAGCAGCUUGCUGCUUUGCUGACGAGUGGCGGACGGGUGAGUAAUGUCUGGGAAACUGCCUGAUGGAGGGGGAUAACUACUGGAAACGGUAGCUAAUACCGCAUAACGUCGCAAGACCAAAGAGGGGGACCUUCGGGCCUCUUGCCAUCGGAUGUGCCCAGAUGGGAUUAGCUUGUUGGUGGGGUAACGGCUCACCAAGGCGACGAUCCCUAGCUGGUCUGAGAGGAUGACCAGCCACACUGGAACUGAGACACGGUCCAGACUCCUACGGGAGGCAGCAGUGGGGAAUAUUGCACAAUGGGCGCAAGCCUGAUGCAGCCAUGCCGCGUGUAUGAAGAAGGCCUUCGGGUUGUAAAGUACUUUCAGCGGGGAGGAAGGGAGUAAAGUUAAUACCUUUGCUCAUUGACGUUACCCGCAGAAGAAGCACCGGCUAACUCCGUGCCAGCAGCCGCGGUAAUACGGAGGGUGCAAGCGUUAAUCGGAAUUACUGGGCGUAAAGCGCACGCAGGCGGUUUGUUAAGUCAGAUGUGAAAUCCCCGGGCUCAACCUGGGAACUGCAUCUGAUACUGGCAAGCUUGAGUCUCGUAGAGGGGGGUAGAAUUCCAGGUGUAGCGGUGAAAUGCGUAGAGAUCUGGAGGAAUACCGGUGGCGAAGGCGGCCCCCUGGACGAAGACUGACGCUCAGGU